rnacentral:lncRNA from 1 species
CUUGUUGUAUGUUUUAACUCCUUUGUCAAAAGUCAAUUGGCCGUAAGUAUGUGUUUUUAUUUCUGAGUUCUCUAUUUUAUUCCAUUGGUCUAUGUGUCUGUUUUUAAACCAAUACUAUGCUGUUUUAGUUAAUGUAGCCUUGUAGUACAAUUUGAAAUCAGAUAGUGCAACGUUUUCAGCUUUAUUUCUUUGGCUCAGGAUUGCUUUGGGUAUUUGGCUUUUGGUUGUUGUUUUUCCAUGAGAAUUUUAAGAUUAUUUCUUCUAUUUCUGUGUAAUAAAUGGAAACAGGGGAGAUUACAGUCAAUAGCAAAAGUGCUCAUAAGUGGUGAUCGAUUUGAGGGUGGGUUGUAGAAAUAUAUUAUUUCUACUGAGUUCAUCAGGGCACAAUGAUUGAUAAUACAGUAAUUUCCCUUUAACUGUGAAACACAUCCAAUAUAUGCAUUACCUCACAUAAUUUUUUCUGGUGAGAACACUUGAAAUACACCCUUUUAGAAAUAUAUCUAUAAUAUAUUGUUAUUAACUGUAGUCAGCAUGAGGUCAAUAGAUUUCUUGAACUUGUUCAUCCUAACUGAAUUUUUUGUGUUCUUGCCCAGUGCUCUUUGACAGAAAUCCCAG